AUACCUUUCUCGGCCUUUUGGCUAAGAUCAAGUGUAGUAUCUGUUCUUAUCAGUUUAAUAUCUGAUAUGUGGAUCAUUGGUCCACACGAUAUUAAAUUACUUUUUUGAUGGGGAGGGUCCGAUACAGUAGCUUGCUACUGGGGUUCUCAAGUGUCGUCCAUGCGUUACACUAUAGUUUGGGCUUGGCACACCCUAC
rfam:Glycine max cultivar Williams 82 chromosome 6, whole genome shotgun sequence.